rnacentral:rRNA from 1 species
GAUGAACGCUGGCGGCGUGCCUAAUACAUGCAAGUCGAGCGAACAGACGAGGAGCUUGCUCCUCUGACGUUAGCGGCGGACGGGUGAGUAACACGUGGAUAACCUACCUAUAGGACUGGGAUAACUUCGGGAAACCGGAGCUAAUACCGGAUAAUAUAUUGAACCGCAUGGUUCAAUAGUGAAAGACGGUUUUGCUGUCACUUAUAGAUGGAUCCGCGCCGCAUUAGCUAGUUGGUAAGGUAACGGCUUACCAAGGCAACGAUGCGUAGCCGACCUGAGAGGGUGAUCGGCCACACUGGAACUGAGACACGGUCCAGACUCCUACGGGAGGCAGCAGUAGGGAAUCUUCCGCAAUGGGCGAAAGCCUGACGGAGCAACGCCGCGUGAGUGAUGAAGGUCUUCGGAUCGUAAGACUCUGUUAUUAGGGAAGAACAAAUGUGUAAGUAACUAUGCACGUCUUGACGGUACCUAAUCAGAAAGCCACGGCUAACUACGUG